UGGGACUUGCUCCUCCUUGCCUUCCACCAUGAUUGUGAGGCUUCCUCAGCCACGUGGAACUAUCCAUAAUGGAUUCCUGGGACAUUUUCAGAUCUCCUUCCAGCUUCCUCUUCGCCCUUUCCAGGUCCGCCCGCAGUUUCUUCUCCUGCUCUAAGGAACCCUCAAGCUGAGAAGACACACAGAGACAAGGGCUUGCUCUGUUGCCUGAGCUGAAAUGCAGUGGUGUGAGUAUAGCCCACUGCAUCCUCAACAAUCCUGUGCUCAAGUGAUCCUCCCUCCUCAGCCUCCCAAGUAGCUUGAACUACAAGAAAAAUAAGUGAAUGUGGAAGCUGCCAAAACACCAACCCUGAACACGGCUGACACGGUCUGGAAAGAGGAGCCCUUCUUCUUCCCGCCCUUCUUGCUUCCUCCGGAGUCGCCUGGAGACAGACACAGAAGGGCAUGUCAGAUGCAUCCCAGAGGACCCAGCAGUGGGCUUCCUGAACCACCCCUUCCCUGCCCCGAGUUCUGGUUUCCUUUUGACA